AUGCUGCUACAGAGCCCUGCUGAUGACAAGAAGGAUGAAGUGGAAUUGUCACAUAUUCCCAAAGUAGAAGUUGAUUUGUUGCAUUUGAGGUUAAGUGAACAGCGAACACUUUUGGACAUUGGACACCGCUUCACUGACCUGUUUCAGGAUACUUUAUCCUGCAACCCAUCGUGGCCAUCUGAGAUUCUCCAGAACGCAGAGGUGAACAAUGGUCGCCUCAUCUGGAACAUCUAUCCAUUAUUUCCCACCCAUUCUAUCUACCCCGGGAGUUUUCAUUGAUCAUCUUUACUGCUGUUUACAUACCACCACAAGCAGACACCGGCUUGGCUUUGUCUAAGCUUCACGAUGUGCUCAGUGGCAACAUCAACAAACAUCCUGACGCUGCUCAUAUCAUCGCUGGGGACUUUAACAAAGCCAAUCUUAGGCAGGCCAUGCCAAACUUUAAUCAACAUGUAUCCUGUCCAACCAGAGAUCUGAAUACAUUGGAUCAUUGCUACACUCAGUUUAAGAAUGCCUACAAAGCCCGCUCACUGCCAUGCCGCCAUUUUCCUCACACUGGAAUACACAUUUGUGACUAUUAAUCUACAUCUUCCAAUUCAAAACACGGAUGUUUUGAUCAUUGUCUGUGUGUGCAAAUUGAAAGAUUCCACUUUUCACAUCAGAGCUGUGAGUGUAAAUUUCAACUUACAAAUACGAAUGUUAAUAUGACAAGUUCUCACAUUCAGAUUUUCAACCUCUCGAGUUUAGCUACUGAUUUACCUCCAUACACUUCAUCCUCCAUAUUUAAAUCCGUUUCCUGGUGUUUCACAAAUUGUGAUAACCAGCCAAGCUCUGAGUUGAUACAUGUUUGAAUCCACCUGGGUCUCAAUUUUCACCAUGAACUCUCUUUUUUGCCUUUAUAAACUUAUCUCUUAAGGUCUUCCAGAUAUUCUUUCAAACAAUUUCUUCCUUGGGCUCGGCAAAAGUGUGCAUCUAGGGUGCAUACUGUAGCAGCCACAAAGCGGGCGCUCUUGAGCACUCUUCUGAAAGCUAAAAGGACGAAGGGUACAGCAGGGUCGGUGGGUCGGUCUAGCCCAGUGGUUUUCAAACUUUUUCAAGAGCGACCCUUUUUACGCGACCCAUAGGCUUAUUCUUAAGCCAGGCAUAAGAGUAACAAUAACAACCGCUUUUGAUGAUGCACGUGCACUGGAUGAUCAUUGACGCGAUUGCAAUGCAAAGUUGAUUCUGCACUAAUUUGAUCUAGCUAUGGGAUGCUCAUUAACCUGUUAACCAUUAACCAUCAUAAGAAUUUUAACCAAUUAAAAGCCUACUAUCGUUUGCUGCAUGCUUAAAAAAUACACAAAACAUAUUCCACAACAAAUCCUUUAAGUGUGAUAUUCAGAACAGAACAAGUAACAAACAACUGUCACCCAACCAAAAUCACACACACUCACACAAACUAUUUAAAAGCAAAAAAUAAGUCAACAGAAGGAAAACAAUUAUCCUAUUGAUCUGAAAUAAGUGUGUGUGUGUGUGUGUGUGUGUGUGUGUGUGUGUGUGUGUGUGUGACAGAAGACAAGGCUCAUGUUCACUGAACUCUUUAAUGUGUGUGUUUGUUGCUGCCGAUGGAGCGAACGAGUGUGUGUGUUGCUGCCGAUGGAGCGAACGAGUGUGUGUGGGUUGCUGCCGAUGGAGCGAAUGAGUAGGCCUAAUAUAUAUUAAUGAGAAGGGUGGGCCUGCUUAUUCUGCAUAAUUUGGUCCCAAGCCGGUUCGCAGGAUGAGAGGGCAACACGCAUGUCCGGAGAAGCAUUCAGUUUGUUUCGUUGUUUCGUCUUCAUUUUGGUUAAAAGUGAGGAUCCAGUUUCACACAUAUAGGUAGUGGUGAAGGGUAGUAGCAAUGAAAUGCUUGCUUUGCUCAGCAUGGGAUACUCGGUGAAGAGGCCAAUCCAGAACGAAGACAAUUUUUCUGUUUUGUCACGAGUUUUCAAAGUGUUGUCACUGGUUAGUUGGAUCAUUUCUGAUUCUUCAGAAGGAGUUAAAUUCAGUUCAGCAAUUGAAUCUGGAGUUUCAAAGUCAAAGGGAUUUUUCACCCACCGCUUGUCUUUUAAUUCAUCGAACUUGCCUGGGGAAAUUAGCGAGAAAAUUUCCCCAUCAGUGCAUCCAGAUGUGACUGAAUGAGACGCGUCAGGCCAGCGACCGAUUCGUUGGGCACAUCGUUUUCUUCAAUGCGUUUCGUCAAUAGGUCGGGAACAAAUAGUAGCUCGCGGUUUUGAGUCGCAGCUGCCAGAGUUCGAGUGAUUUCUGGAAAGCCUGAAUUUGUUCGCAAUGUCUGAAAAUGUUGUCUUCCCGUCCUUGUAGUUUUAGAUUCAGUUCGUUUAGAACAGAAAUUAUGUCAGCCAGAUAAGAAAGGGUUAAAAGCCAUUUCUCAUCACUGAAUUGGCUUGCGAGAGGUGACAGUUUAUCAGUAAGAAAAGCAGGUAUUUCAUCCCUCAAUUCGUACACUCGGCUGAGCACCAUUCACCUUGCCAAAUGUACCGAACAUAAACAAGUAACUUAGCGCUUGAUGCAACGUUAGUGCUCUCAUCCAGCUGAAUAGCAAAAUCCCUUGCUGACUUCAGUCUCGCUAUGAGCUGUUCUUCUAAAUUCUGGGCAAUAUCCACAAUUCGACGUGACACCGUAUUGUCAGUAAGAGGAAUUAGUUUUAGCUUUUCAGAUGCCUUUUCAUCCAGAACUGUAUUAACUAUGUCUAGUGCAGCAGGCAAUAUUAAACGCUCUGCAAUUGUGUGUGGCGCUUUUUCUUUGGCAAGACGAUAUGAAACUUUAUAAGAUGCCAAGUGCAAUUUGUCAUUGUAUGUCACACUUCUGCUGAGUAACUGAGCUGAUGACUUAAUUUCUUGAGACUUCCUCUGAAAAAAAGAUAAUGGUUUGUCCGCAAGAUCUGCAUGGCGUGUACUUAAAUGUCUUUCCAACUUUGCUGGUUUCAAACUUUCAUUUGCCAACUUUUCACCGCAUAUUACGUACAUUGGUAUUGCAGCACGGACUGCGUCCGAACAGUUGACAAACCCAAACUUCAAAAAAUCAUCUUUAUAUGGCCUUACUCCGGAUUUCUGCUUUUUCUUUGCUGGGCAAGUACUGCUACUCUGUUCACAUGCAUCGCCUUCGUUAUCUUCCCUGCUGAUCUCCGCUGUUUGCGGCAGGGUUUGACGACUGGCUGCGUUUUCUGCUGCUUCAUUUAAAGGGGUCUCUGUCUCUGGCCCUCUUUUUCUUGUGAAAAAAUCAUUAAUGCUUUUUGACUUUUGCUUGCUCAUGUUCAGCAUAAAAUAAAUUAAAUACGGGCUACUAAUGUCACGCUACCUAAGAUGUUGCAUCAUCUCAGUGAGAAAAAGAAAAUGGCUGUAUCAACAACACUGCGCGCAAGAUUUUUUUUUUGUUUUUUUAUUUAUUUAUUUUAUUUAUUUAUUUUGCAUGUAUUUGAAUGAUUUUUCAGUGUACUUCUAUUCAAAGUUAUUAUUAUUAUUAUUAUUAUUAUUAUUAUGAUUAGAAAACGGAAUUAAUUAUUUUAGUAAAAAAAAAAGAAAAAUCACUGGCGACCCAUUUUUUAAUUCUCGCGACCCACCCGAGGGUCGCGACCCAGGGUUUGAAAACCACUGGUCUAGCCUACGGAUAACUGUUCUUGUCACUUUGCAACUGUGACAGUUGCCAUUGAUGAGCGUUGAUAACUGUUUUAAAAUUAUAUUAAAAACAAAGCAGCUUUAA
ensembl:lncRNA